rnacentral:sRNA from 1 species
GGGGGAGGGAGGGGGGGGAGGACGGAUGGCCGCUGUUCCUCCCUCCGGUGCUGAAGUCAGCCCCACCCCAGGACGAAGGGAGGGGUGUCCCUCCAGGCGGGAGAGGCCCCCUGGAGGCUCCCAGGAAGCCCCACCCCCGCCCUGGCGCAAUCCGGCCGCCCGGGGCGCUGUCCGCCCCGUCGAGUGCUGAAACUCCCUGCUCUGCGGGUCUCGGGAUGGAGAGCCCAACCGGGCCCCGCAACGGGGAGGCAGGGGAGAGGCAGGGAGAACUUUCUUUCUUUCUCUCUUUAGUGAGUUCUCAUCUCUUCCCACCCCAAGAUAGUCAAGAUUUUGGGUGGGAGCAUAGCGAUGGCAUUGGGCUUGCUUUUUCUAAAUCUUAAAAGAUUUUGGGCUGAGUGGGGAUCGUGGCGUCUACCAGAUGCCCACCUGUCGGAGGCCACCAGGCAACCCUGUCCUGGGGCGACCCCACACCUCACUGCACCAGGACCUGAGGUCGCUCCCGAGACCAGGCUUCCAUCCUGGGCCAAGGGCCUUCAAGUCUCCAGGAACCUCUGGAUUUUUGGUGCUGGCUUGGUGACGACUGAGACAACUCAAGGACCAGGCAGCUACCAGAUUCCCAGCCUCACAGUGAAAUUUCAGAGUCUGGGAACUGCUUGAGUCCACCGGAGAGCAACUGUCCAACACUGCCACCUCCUGCUCACAUUGGGAAACAGCCUUUCACGGAUGCGUCCUCUGCAUCCCUUGGAAGGAGGAAGAGUGUAGAAACUUUUUUUUCUGGAGAAGCAACUGGUGCUGCGUUGGGACAUAUGUUUAACACAUUGGAUUUCGGAAUCAGACAAAGUGUGCCUGUUGCCUACUCUGCCACCUACCUGCUUCUCCUGUGACGAGUGAUUUCACCCGUGCGAGCCUCAGACCCCAGGGGACUGCAUCAGACAGUGAACAAUGUCUGUACAAUGUCUGCACAGCUCACAGAGAGGGCUUGCAGAGGCCGGAGAAGCCAAACCAUCGCUCAACAGCUAGCCAGGAACGAGGAAAACUGUAACACACUUAUUGAAGUGCCAUGAGCAAUCAUCCAUUUCUGCUGUGACAUCACGAUGCUUACCCACUGACAAGGAGCCUCGAGCCAGUUUGGGGAGCAUCAGAUCCAGCUGGCGGAAGGUGCGGAAAACGUCGGCUGAGUGGUCACGGUCGAGGGCCUGACUCUCGUGGGUGCGUGGUGAGGCCUCCACUCCAUACAGGGUCAGGUAGCCAGCGCUGGGGUGACAGCAACAAGUCAGGUCCUGUCUUCAGUUCCUACCCUGCCUCAGUUUCCCCUCUUCAGUUCCUACCCUGCCUAUUUCCCUCAGAGAUGUUGUGUGACCUGAAAAUGUAUGAUGAAGUAAACCCUUUGUUUCCCAA